CGACGGCAGCACGGGAGCAAUCCUGGUGGCGAGUGGCGAACGGGUGAGUAAUGUAUCGGAACGUACCUUUCAGUGGGGGAUAACGUAGCGAAAGUUACGCUAAUACCGCAUAUUCUGUGAGCAGGAAAGCAGGGGAUCGCAAGACCUUGCGCUGAUUGAGCGGCCGAUAUCAGAUUAGCUAGUUGGUGAGGUAAAGGCUCACCAAGGCGACGAUCUGUAGCGGGUCUGAGAGGAUGAUCCGCCACACUGGAACUGAGACACGGUCCAGACUCCUACGGGAGGCAGCAGUGGGGAAUUUUGGACAAUGGGCGCAAGCCUGAUCCAGCAAUGCCGCGUGCAGGAUGAAGGCCUUCGGGUUGUAAACUGCUUUUGUACGGAACGAAACGGUCUGCUCUAAUACAGUGGGCUAAUGACGGUACCGUAAGAAUAAGCACCGGCUAACUACGUGCCAGCAGCCGCGGUAAUACGUAGGGUGCGAGCGUUAAUCGGAAUUACUGGGCGUAAAGCGUGCGCAGGCGGUUAUAUAAGACAGAUGUGAAAUCCCCGGGCUCAACCUGGGACCUGCAUUUGUGACUGUAUAGCUAGAGUACG
rnacentral:rRNA from 1 species